rnacentral:sRNA from 1 species
CUUUGUAAGCCUUAAGUCAUCCAUAGUGACGUUGAACUGACUCCCCACAGCUGAUCCUGUCCUGAGUACUCGGACAGCUUCUGAACCCCCAUUCACUGUCUCUGCUCCCUUUGCCACAUGGACUGGAUCAGCCAAAGAUCCACACAGGCAGAGAAAACCACACUCACAUCACCUAGGAAUCAGCCAGCAUACAGAGAAUCUAGAGACCAUUUUCCAUGAAUACGUCAUUGGUUUAUCUUAGACUGAAAAACUGGAGACUUCAGAGAGUGAGGGCUCAUUUCGUCUGUGCCAUCAAAUCUAAGGGUCUGUAGAGACGGACGCAGCUGCUGACCCCUUCAAGACUGAAAUGCCUGUGUGGGAUAAUGGUCUACAAAGUUCCAAGGACUUGCAAAGGUGAACGAGCAUCUCUUCCUAAAGUGACUCGAAAGGGAGUUGAAUAUACAUCUCAGAAGAAAUGAAAGGAAAAAGAACAGAG